UACGGAGGGUGCGAGCGUUGUCCGGAAUUACUGGGCGUAAAGGGCGCGUAGGCGGCGCGGUAAGUCGGCGGUGAAAGCCCGGAGCUCAACUCCGAGACUGCAUUUGAUACUGCGGUGCUUGAGGACUGGAGAGGAGACUGGAAUUUACGGUGCAGCAGUGAAAUGCGUAGAGAUCGUAAGGAAGACCAGUGGCGAAGGCGGGUCUCUGGACAGUUCCUGACACUGAGGCACGAAGGCCAGGGGAGCAAACGGG
rnacentral:rRNA from 1 species